rnacentral:rRNA from 1 species
AUUGAACGCUGGCGGCAGGCCUAACACAUGCAAGUCGAACGAGUGGCGGACGGGUGUGUAAUGUCUGGGAAACUGCCUGAUGGAGGGGGUUACCUACUGGAAACGGUAGCUAAUACCGCAUACCAUCAGAUGUGCCCAGAUGGGAUUAGCUAGUUGGUGGGGUAACGGCUAACCAAGGCGACGAUCCCUAGCGGGUCUGAGAGGAUGACAAGCCACACUGGAACUGAGACACGGGCCAGACUCCUACGGGAGGCAGAAGUGGGGAAUAUGGCACAAGGGGCGAAAGCCUGAUGCAGCCAUGCCGCGUGGAUGAAGAAGGCCUUCGGAUUGUAAAGUACUUUCAGCGGGGAGGCGUUACCCGCAGAAGAAGCACCGGCUAACUCCGUGCCAGCAGCCGCGGUAAUAC